UUACAAAAUGGAAGACAAGACGAAGGGCUAGUAUCCCUGUAAGUUUUUUUUAGAAUGCUCAAGGAUGAUUUCUACGACAUAAAAAUCAAGAAAACAGUUGGAUUGAGCCUCCAAAUGGAAUAGCGGCGGAAAAGGGCAAAUUCUAAAGUCGGCGGAAACGGAGGAAGGAAGGUGAAAGAACCUCGGCCUGAUCAAUCGAUAACUCGGUCGUCGAACUACAUCGAACCUUACUCGCUUCAUUGAUGCGAUAGACAAUCGAACACACUCUGACGUUUGCGUUCUGUAAUUGAAAUUUUUUUAUCGAACCAUAUAUCAAUCGGUUUACAAGCCCGUACGGAUUUUUUUCAGGUGCGAAUUUCAAAGUAGGUAAAUAAUAGAGUGACUAAAAAUAGAAAUUCCACAGAAUUUCUCUUAUAGAUUUUAAUAAAACGUCCUCUAAGUGUC